GUCUUCAACAAAAGGGGACUUCCGGGCAGGGCGUGGGGGGAGGCAAGUGCGUAGGAGGCAGGGAAGUCCAGAACCAGGAAACAGGAACCGUGGGACAGGUGUGCUCCUGUCCCCAGGCUCUGCGUGGCCGCAGUGAACAGAACAACAGCAGCCGUCCCUACUUGUUUCCAUCCCUUGCUCAGAAGUCCUAGCCGAGCUGGUCCCCCAGCCCAGCCUACACCAGAUGCCAGCCCAAGCCCAGCCAGCUCGGAGACAGGAGCUCUCUGGGCUUCUGUGUCGGGAAGAUGAGUUUCUAAGAAGCCUGGCCCUGCUCGAUAGACUUCCUGAGAAGAUAGGGCUGGGUGGUGGCUAGCCCCGUCCCCACCAGGUACAAGCAUCAGCAGAGUGACAGGAACACCCCAGGUGCUAGUGACACCGGCUGAUACCCGCCUCUGUUUUAGACCUCGGGUUCUCCAAGUGGGUGCAGGGGCUGGCACGUUAGUGCCAACGGGGUCGGAAUAGGAAAGAGCCAGCCUCCUCUCCCCGGACUCAUUGAAUCAGAGUCGCUGGGAUCCAUGGUGGCCGAGCCCGCCAGGUGAUGGUGAAUGCGGCAAAGUUCCAGGACCACUGACUUCUCAGAGCAAAGCGGGAAGCCGGGUGGAUGGGCAUCGCCAGGAUGACAUGCCUCCUUUGCAUGCACGCCUCCCGCGUUCCCUGGGACCCUCCCAGCGAGGCCCAUCAUCAUCUCACAGGAACUGUACGCUAAAAUGUGUUCAUUUAUUAAUUAGUUUGGACGGUGGCGAGAGCCGGUGAAUCUACCCAGGCCCUUUUUGUCUGAGCCUCAGAAAAAUGUUUUGGUUUCCUUCCUGGUUCCACGCACCAUCCUGGGAGGACAAAACAAUGCACAGCUGGUGUGUGUGAGUUGUGUCUUUGUUAAAUAUAUUUGUAUUUUUUUCUGCUUUCUUUUAUCAUUAAUUUGUUUCUUUUACUUCAAUUUCUUUCAUCUUUUUACUUAAAUGAUAUUUUGUAUUUGCAUGUAUUCCCCAUUUCAUGUUCCUUGGAGAGGUGUGUGUGUAACUGUAUCAUUUUGGUAUAGUAUUUGUUGCAGUUAUCAGAUUCUUGAUUUAAGUGUAUGUCUUUC